rnacentral:rRNA from 1 species
AUGUACUCACUACUUGUUCAUAGUAGUAGUUGCAGUUAACUCUACACUGUUAACAAUUAAUGCAGGAGACUACAUUUUCUAUACUGACUGGGCUUGGACAUCGUUUACGGUAUUUUCAAUAUCGCAAACUUUGUUGCUUUGCGUAGGUGCAACAUAUUACCUACCGUUUACCGGCGUUCCAGGUACAGCUACGUAUUACGCCUUAAUUUUUAAAGUAUACCAAUGGAAUACAAAACGUGAAUGGUUUUCUUUAGGUUAUCCCUUUGAUUUUUUUGGGCUACAAAGAAGAACAAACAUUCAUUGAUACUGUUUGGCGGUGUACUUGUAGGAAUGUCUUUACCAUUAUUCAACAUGGUAAACCUGAUAACAGUAGCAGACCCACUAGAAACGGCAUUCAAAUAUCCAAGACCAACAUUGCCACCAUACAUGACACCAAUAGAGCCUCAAGUAGGUAAAUUCUAUAACAGUCCAGUAGCACUGGGUGCAGGUGCUGGUGCAGUAUUGUCAGUUACGUUUACAGCAUUAGGUUGUAAGCUAAACACUUGG